UACGUAGGGGGCAAGCGUUGUCCGGAUUUAUUGGGCGUAAAGAGCGUGUAGGCGGCUUUACAGGUCCGUUGUGAAAACUCGAGGCUCAACCUCGAGACGUCGGUGGAAACUGCCUGGCUAGAGUCCGGAAGAGGAGAGUGGAAUUCCUGGUGUAGCGGUGAAAUGCGCAGAUAUCAGGAAGAACACCCGUGGCUAAGGCGGCUCUCUAGUACGGUACUGACGCUGAGACGCGAAAGCGUGGGGAGCGAACAGG
rnacentral:rRNA from 1 species